UACGAAGGGGGCUAGCGUUGCUCGGAAUUACUGGGCGUAAAGCGCGUGUAGGCUGCGGUGUAAGUCGGACGUGAAAGCCCUUGGCUUAACCAAGGAAGUGCAUCCGAUACUGCGUCGCUUGAGUGCCGGAGGGGGUGGCGGAAUUCCCGGUGUAGAGGUGAAAUUCGUAGAUAUCGGGAGGAACACCUGUGGCGAAGGCG
rnacentral:rRNA from 1 species